GUAACGUGUAAAAAUUUCCGGAGACUCCGUUGAUGGAAUCUUUCAAGGAGUUGGAGAUGGCGUUUAUAAGUGGUCCAUAUUUCACAAGCAUUCAAUAAGGUUGGUAGUACAAUAGCUUUGUAAACAAGCAUUUUGGUAAUACACACAUCACUGUGGUAAAAGCAUACUGGGAACUCAGUUAUACAGCUGCAAAUAAAACUUUUUUAAUGCAUUGUAAAGUGCAAUGUACACAUGGGACACUAGAUGGCGAGAGUGAGCCACACCAAAUCCAAUGUGUUUUUCAAAAUGUUUUUUAGAAAAGCAUUUCCGCAGCAUUUUUCUAUACAUGUAUAGAUCCCAACGGAAUUUCUUGCGGGAAAAAUUAAGGAACCGAAUGAGGUUUUUUUAGUCUUCAGGACCUUCCAUCCAGAUUCUUAUUACACGCUCCUUCAUUUUUUAAAACGCAAACGAGACUCCCUUCAGUCCGAGACUGGUUACCUUGCAUGCCAAAAAGUCCAUCAUUUCAUCUGAAAUGCAUGUCAGUAUUUUUGGUAAACAGACACUAUGGAUCUCAACAAUGAGCAAGGCCACCUGUCUGGAGUUAAAGAGAAAAUCCUUGAGGUCUUGUUUUUGGCCAGGAGGCAACAUUAACCACCUGGCUAUGCAUAUGUCUAAGCGCACUUGCGGGACUAGGUCUGUGUGAUCUUCAUGUCUUUUUAGAUUUAUUUUAACAAACAGCAUGCAGUGCCAAAACAAAAACUGCCCAUUUAGCAUUGCCCGUAGAAAUGACUAUGGACUUGGCAGGUAUUGUGGAAUUUAUUGUGUGUGCACCUCCGACGUGUGAGGGGGGCGGCUAGGACAGGAGUGAAUGAACAAGCUGAGUUUUAUCUGUGUUUUUGAAGUUUAGCGGUGUAAAAAAACAACAACGGGGUGACGUUUUAAAUGUGGCACCCUCACAAAAUAUCGUGGCACAGGCAGUACGGCAGACCCUCCAAGUGCCCCUAUUUUCCAGAGACAUCCCUGAUUUAGAGAAGCCAUCCCGGUUUCUUAUUUGAUUCCGGAAUGUCCCACUUUUCCUUAGGAUGUCUCUAUUUUCAUUGGAGAAAUGUUGGAGGGUAUGGAGUUAUCUGAUCCCCGAGCCGUCUAAAGGCAAUCCUGUAUAGGGAAGCUUUUUAAAUGUUUUAUAUUUUAUUAUGUUUUUAUGUAUGUUGGAAGCCACCCUGAGUGGCUGGGACAACCCAGUAAGAUGUGUGGGGUAUAAAUAGUAAAAUUAUCAAUUUUGAAACAGGACCUCCCUAUUUUCAUCGGAGAAAUGUUGGAGGGUAUGGUAUCUGCCCCUGCGUACACUUUGCCCAGCCUAGGUGCAGGUUUCAAACUACUCGGCUUACUG